rnacentral:misc_RNA from 1 species
UCUGCCUUAUCGGCAAGCGGUCCUAUUAGAGUGCCCAACUUAAUGCUGGCAACUAAUAGCAAGGGUUGCGCUCGUUGCGGGACUUAACCCAACAUCUCACGACACGAGCUGACGACAGCCAUGCAGCACCUGUCACCGCGUCCCCGAAGGGAACCCCUACUUUCAUAGGGUAGCGCGGGAUGUCAAACCUAGGUAAGGUUUUUCGCGUUGCAUCGAAUUGAACCACAUACUCCACCGCUUGUGCGGGCCCCCGUCAAUUUCUUUGAGUUUUAAUCUUGCGACCGUACUUCCCAGGCGGGAUACUUAAUGCGUUGGCUGCGACGCCGAAAGGGUAAGAACUUCCGACAUCUAGUAUCCAUAGUUUACGGCGUGGACUAC